CACGCCGUAAACGAUGGGUACUAGGUGUAGGAGGUAUCGACCCCUUCUGUGCCGCAGCUAACGCAUUAAGUACCCCGCCUGGGGAGUACGGCCGCAAGGUUGAAACUCAAAGGAAUUGACGGGGGCCCGCACAAGCGGUGGAGCAUGUGGUUUAAUUCGACGCAACGCGAAGAACCUUACCAGGGCUUGACAUCCUUUGAAUCUGGAUGAAAGUUUGGAGUGCCCCUUCGGGGGAGCAAAGAGACAGGUGG
rnacentral:rRNA from 1 species